rnacentral:tRNA from 1 species
CCGUCGUCGUAGCGGAGCGCCGCCUCGUCCUCCAGGACCAGCAGGCCAGUGCUGGACGGCGGGUCGUUCUGUUCGGCCGCCUGCGGG